rnacentral:tRNA from 1 species
GCGGAUGUGGCGCAGUUGGUAGCGCGGCACCGUGCCAAGGUGCAGGUCACCGGUUCGAACCCGGUCAUCCGCU